CACACAUCUGGAAAUAAUUGAGGAGAGAGAGAGAGAGCAAGAAAGACAUAGUUCUGUUAACAAAAGGGAACAAAAGGAAGGCAACCAUUAUAUAACAUCGGUAUAAAGUUCAGAAUCAGGGAAGAAGACAAGUUAACUGUGGACAGCAGGCAGACACAGUCUACCAGUGAAGAAUAAUACAGAGGAAGAGAAGAAAGGAAAGCUGGUUGAAAGGCCUGGCUGGUUCAAGGACCAAUCCAAAGGAAAACUAAGCAAAGAUCAAACCCAAGUGAAGGAGCCAGGAGUUGCAAAGAGGAGUGUGGCAAAGACAAGACCAAAACCGAAACUCAUCCUCAGGAUGUCAGUGUCUCAGAGAUGUUUGUGCUGUGUCAAAUAUUUGAUGUUUGUCUUUAACCUCAUCUUCUGGCUUGGAGGAUGCGGCUUGUUUGGCGUUGGAGUCUGGCUGUCCUUCACACAGGCAGAGUUUUCCUCUCUUCCCCUGUCCUUUCCAUCCCUCUCAGCUGCCAAUCUGCUGCUAGUCGCUGGUGGCAUUACCAUGGUUACUGGGUUCCUGGGUUGUCUUGGAGCCCUUAAGGAGCAGCGUUGCCUGUUGUUCAUGUUCUUUGUGAUCCUUUUGCUCCUGGUCCUGACAGAGGUGACCCUAGUGUUGGUUAUACACAUCUCCCAUGACAAGCUUGAUACCAAAGCACAAAGUGAAUUAAAGGAAGGUAUGAAGAUUUAUAAAUCAGAACAUGGACUGAAAAAAUCCUGGGACAAUGUCCAGAAAAUGUUCAAAUGCUGUGGAGUAACUAACAAAACAGACUGGUAUGAUGUGCUGAAUGGAACGCUGCCCUCAUCCUGCUGCUCUGUUGGGACUGACCAGUGUGUUGACGGAUGGAGUGAGCCGUGCUAUCAGAAGGCCAGACAGUGGUUGCUCACUAACAUCCCCUCAGUUCUGGUGUUUGGAGUCUGUAUUGGUGUUGUGCAGGGAUUUUGCCUUGCAUACAGGCUGUCCUACCUUCUUGGUGGAGGUUGUUGGGGCUGAAUGCAACUGGGGAGGAAGCCUGCAGACACUGCCCAGGGCUGAAAAAGCACAAACAUCCCGGCAUUUUCUGGUAAAAAAAAUUGUUUAGAUCUUGGCCCUGGUGUUCUCCAUGCUGAUGUACUGUCAAAUUCUGUGUGCUGAGAAGAACUUGGACUGACUGCAGACCAGCAGUUCACUGGCCUUCUGAUGGGAAGAAUUGUCACGGGGAUCUCAAUCUGGGUUACAAAUUCUUCCUCAAGAUUCCCCAAAAAACCAACACUAUCUAACUAAAACCAUCAGUGGGCGCAAUGGACUCUUGCGGUAUGGACAAAGGCUGCAGUGACAGACUGAGGUGGAGCUGACAGAAAAUGACAAGCACUGUUGGUUGUCUUUUUUCCAGCCAUAUGAAUAUAAUAUCAUGAACCUCAUCACAGUUUAACAUUGCAUUAUGUCAUAUCAGUAAGGUUUUAUUUUAUCUCUAAAAUCCAUCAGCCUCCAGCUAAAACAAGUUACAAUUAUCUUAAUGCACUGCUCCUGUAGACUAACCUGGGGGGAAACACUGGGUCCAAUGUCAUCUUAAAAUUCAAGAACAAAGGACAACGCAUAUCUGCUUCUCCUCGUUUUAUAUUAUUUUGUUUCUGUUCUGUUUUUUUAAUACAGUGUGUAAUUUGUUAUGUUUAGUCUGUUUCUGUGUCGUGAAAAAAACUAGCAGUGCAUUCUGUUAUUCAGUAGGACUGGAAGAAAAAUGCAACUACACUCACUAUUCAUAAUUUUAUUAUUUUGAAUUUCAUUAACCAUCCAGGAUGUCAAGAAAUGAAGAGAGGACCCUUAACUUAAUAACCUGCUGGUUCAGUUUGUGUGUUAAGUAAGGCAAUAUAAUGGGGGGUAAUGCUUUUGACAAGCAAACCCACUGUAAAAAAAAAAAAA